rnacentral:tRNA from 1 species
AUUUAUAUAGUUUAAACAAAACAUUACAUUUUCACUGUAAAGACAAAAAUCUUUUUUUUUAUAAAUU